UACGUAGGGUGCGAGCGUUGUCCGGAAUUAUUGGGCGUAAAGGGCUCGUAGGCGGUUUGUCGCGUCGGGAGUGAAAUCCACUGGCUUAACUGGUGGCUUGCUUUCGAUACGGGCAGACUGGAGGUAUGCAGGGGAGAACGGAAUUCCUGGUGUAGCGGUGAAAUGCGCAGAUAUCAGGAGGAACACCGGUGGCGAAGGCGGUUCUCUGGGCAAUAACUGACGCUGAGGAGCGAAAGCGUGGGGAGCGAACAGG
rnacentral:rRNA from 1 species